CCUACGGGAGGCAGCAGUGAGGAAUAUUGGUCAAUGGACGAGAGUCUGAACCAGCCAAGUCGCGUGAAGGAUGACUGCUCUAUGGGUUGUAAACUUCUUUUAUAUGGGAAUAAAAUGUUCCACGCUUGGGAUUUUGUACGUACCAUAUGAAUAAGGAUCGGCUAACUCCGUGCCAGGAGCCGCGGUAAUACGGAGGGUCCGAGCGUUAUCCGGAUUUAUUGGGUUUAAAGGGAGCGUAGGUGGAUUGGUAAGUCAGUUGUGAAAGUUUGCGGCUCAACCGUAGAAGUGCAGUUGAAACUGGCAGGCUUGAGUGCAGUAGAGGUAGGCGGAAUUCGUGGUGUAGCGGUGAAAUGCUUAGAUAUCACGAAGAACUCCGAUUGCGAAGGCAGCUCACUGGACUGCAACUGACACUGAGGCUCGAAAGUGUGGGUAUCAAACAGGAUUAGAUACCCUAGUAGUC
rnacentral:rRNA from 1 species